rnacentral:rRNA from 1 species
GAUGAACGCUGGCGGCGUGCUUAACACAUGCAAGUCGAGCGAAGCACUUUGGAAAGCUUCUUCGGAUGAUUUCCUUUGUGACUGAGCGGCGGACGGGUGAGUAACGCGUGGGUCACCUGCCUCAUACAGGGGGAUAACAGUUAGAAAUGACUGCUAAUACCGCCUAAGACCACGGUACCGCAUGGUACAGUGGUAAAAACUCCGGUGGUAUGAGAUGGACCCGCGUCUGAUUAGGUAGUUGGUGGGGUAACGGCCUACCAAGCCGACGAUCAGUAGCCGACCUGAGAGGGUGACCGGCAACAGUGGGACUGAGACACGGCCCAGACUCCUACGGGAGGCAGCAGUGGGGAAUAUUGCACAAUGGAGGAAACUCUGAUGCAGCGACGCCGCGUGAAGGAUGAAGUAUUUCGGGAUGUAAACUUCUAUCAGCAGGGAAGAAAAUGACGGUACCUGACUAAGAAGCCCCGGCUAACUACGUG